rnacentral:lncRNA from 1 species
CGCACUGUGGCAAACACAAGAGGACAUGAAUGGUUGGCGGUGCAGUGUGGUGGAAGUGCAUUGCAGUGGAUCCCAAGGAAACCAGAGGCAAAUUCUGGCUCUGCCACUAGCAAGGCUCUGUGGCUAGGGUACCCCUGUGGAAUUCAGCCUCCUCAUCCGUGAAAUGAAGAAGUGAAACAAAAACAUCUUAAUGUUAUUUCUAACACCUGCUUUCUCUGGAUUCAGCAUCAGAAUAUAUCCAGAUAAGACUGCAAACAACUGAGAGAGCUAAUUCUUUGCUGUUGGGAAUGAGAGUUAGACUACCAUCAAACUCUUCACCCACAACCCUAGAAGCCAGCAGACAGUGGAGGAAUAUCUGCAACCACUAAGAAGAAAGGCUGCCAUCCAGGACUCCUAUUCCCAGGAAAGAUAUCAGUCACUCAUCAAGGUAAAAGGAAGACACCCUUACCUGUACUGGAAUUCAGAGAGUUGGGGGUAUUUAACGAAAAUAAGAGAAGUCUUCUGAUCAUUAGAUUAGAACAGAGAUCACAAGACAGGAGCAGAUGUCCAGAAUGAUGUUGUCAUUGAACGUAUGUGAUGUAAGUGUUAAGAAAGGAUUCUUGAAACAGAAGAGAAAUACUGUAAGAGGAAACCUAGCAAUGAUCUGCAACUGUAAGUUUUAAAUUAUUUCCACAAAACCCACGUAUGGAGCAGGGUGCACUGUCUGGGGGAAGUGUGAGAGUGGGAAAGGAAGAACAUUCUUAAGUUCUCAUAUCAGUGCAGGGGAUGGGGACUAGGCACAUCAGACAAAGGCAUUUUCAUUAUUU